rnacentral:rRNA from 1 species
UACAGAGGUCCCAAGCGUUAUCCGGAUUCACUGGGUUUAAAGGGUGCGUAGGUGGGUUGGUAAGUCAGUGGUGAAAUCUCCGAGCUUAACUUGGAAACUGCCAUUGAUACUAUCAGUCUUGAAUACCGUGGAGGUCAGCGGAAUAUGUCAUGUAGCGGUGAAAUGCUUAGAUAUGACAUAGAACACCAAUUGCGAAGGCAGCUGGCUACUCGGAUAUUGACACUGAGGCACGAAAGCGUGGGGAUCAAAACAGG